rnacentral:rRNA from 1 species
GUGAGGAAUAUUGGUCAAUGGGCGAGAGCCUGAACCAGCCAAGUCGCGUGAAGGAAGAAGGAUCUAUGGUUCGUAAACUUCUUUUGCAGGGGAAUAAAGUGCAGGACGUGUUCUGUUUUGUAUGUACCCUGAGAAUAAGGAUCGGCUAACUCCGUGCCAGCAGCCGCGGUAAUACGGAGGAUCCGAGCGUUAUCCGGAUUUAUUGGGUUUAAAGGGUGCGUAGGUGGUUUGAUAAGUCAGCGGUGAAAGUUUGCAGCUUAACUGUAAAAAUGCCGUUGAAACUGUCGGACUUGAGUGUAAAUGAGGUAGGCGGGAUGCGUGGUGUAGCGGUGAAAUGCAUAGAUAUCACGCAGAACUCCGAUUGCGAAGGCAGCUUACUAAGCUACAACUGACACUGAAGCACGAAAGCGUGGGGAUCAAACAGGAUUAGAUACCCGAGUAGUCC